UACCUGAUGGCACAAGGUGUGCGUCUGCUACUCUUUUCCAACCUCGACAGGGAGGUUAAACAGAAGGCCCCCGUUCGAUUCGGGGUCGGGUGA